GAUGAACGCUGGCUACAGGCUUAACACAUGCAAGUCGAGGGGAAACGACGGGGAAGCUUGCUUCCCCGGGCGUCGACCGGCGCACGGGUGAGUAACGCGUAUCCAACCUGCCUCUGACUGAGGGAUAACCCGUCGAAAGUCGGCCUAAUACCUCAUGGCAUCGUCUGCGGGCAUCCAACGACGAUUAAAGAUUUCAUCGGUCAGAGAUGGGGAUGCGUCUGAUUAGCUUGUUGGCGGGGUAACGGCCCACCAAGGCGACGAUCAGUAGGGGUUCUGAGAGGAAGGUCCCCAACAUUGGAACUGAGACACGGGCCAAACUCCUACGGGAGGCAGCAGUGAGGAAUAUGGGUCAAUGGGCGAGAGCCUGAACCAGCCAAGUAGCGUGCAGGAUGACGGCCCUAUGGGUUGUAAACUGCUUUUAUGCGGGGAUAAAGUGAGGGACGUGUCCUUCAUUGCAGGUACCGCAUGAAUAAGGACCGGCUAAUUCCGU
rnacentral:rRNA from 1 species